UCCUCUGUAGUUCAGUCGGUAGAACGGCGGACUGUUAAUCCGUAUAUCACUGGUUCGAGUCCAGUCAGAGGAGCCA
rnacentral:tRNA from 5 species